rnacentral:rRNA from 1 species
UACGUAGGUGGCAAGCGUUGUCCGGAUUUAUUGGGUUUAAAGGGUGCGUAGGCGGCUUUGUAAGUCAGUGGUGAAAUACGGUAGCUCAACUAUCGAGGUGCCAUUGAUACUGCAGAGCUUGAGUACAGAUGAGGUAGGCGGAAUUGACGGUGUAGCGGUGAAAUGCGUAGAUAUCUGGAGGAACACCGGUGGCGAAGGCGGCAUCCUGGACCGACACUGACGCUGAGGAGCGAAAGCCAGGGGAGCAAACGGG